rnacentral:rRNA from 1 species
GACGAACGCUGGCGGCGUGCCUAAUACAUGCAAGUCGAGCGGACUUUCAAGAAGCUUGCUUUUUGAAAGUUAGCGGCGGACGGGUGAGUAACACGUGGGCAACCUGCCUGCAAGACGGGGAUAACUCCGGGAAACCGGGGCUAAUACCGGAUAAUAUCUUCCUUCGCAUGAAGGAAGGUUGAAAGGCGGCGCAAGCUGCCGCUUGCAGAUGGGCCCGCGGCGCAUUAGCUAGUUGGUGAGGUAACGGCUCACCAAGGCGACGAUGCGUAGCCGACCUGAGAGGGUGAUCGGCCACACUGGGACUGAGACACGGCCCAGACUCCUACGGGAGGCAGCAGUAGGGUAUCUUCCGCAAUAGACGAAAGUCUGACGGAGCAACGCCGCGUGAGCGAAGAAGGUCUUCGGAUCGUAAAGCUCUGUUGUCAGGGAAGAACAAGUACCGUUCGAACAGGGCGGUACCUUGACGGUACCUGACCAGAAAGCCACGGCUAACUACGUG